AUGAGCAAUCAAGCUGCGUGUGAGUUCAGCAUGAAUGGCCGUAAAGGCAAGCUGAAAUUCAGAGAACUUAAGUUCACCAAAAUUGUGCUCUCGGCUGUUCAGCGGACACGCCACCACAAGGAGUGCACACUCGACGACGUUGUCCACCAGAUAAAGGAGUGGCUGCGCAGGGCC